rfam:Asian citrus Psyllid, Diaphorina citri - Florida Strain, whole genome shotgun sequence.
ACCAGCGGCAAUAGCACGUUGAAUACACCAGUUCUCAAUAGAUCACUGAAAUUAAGCAGCGUUGUGCGUGGUUGGUAUCCGGAUGGGUGACCAUCUGCGCAAUCAGACCACCUUUA